UACAGAGGUCCCGAGCGUUGUUCGGAUUCACUGGGCGUAAAGGGUGCGCAGGUGGGUUUGCAAGUUUGGAUGUGAAAGCCCCGGGCUUAACCCGGGAAUGGCAUUGAAUACUGCAGAUCUGGAGGAUUGGAGGGGGGACUGGAAUUCGUUGGUGUAGCAGUGAAAUGCGUAGAAUAUCAAGAGGAACACCAGUGGCGAAGGCGAGUCCCUGGACAAUACCUGACACUGAGGCACGAAAGCCAGGGGAGCGAACGGGA
rnacentral:rRNA from 1 species